rnacentral:rRNA from 1 species
AACGAACGCUGGCGGCAUGCCCAACACAUGCAAGUCGAACGAGAUCUUCGGGUCUAGUGGCGCACGGGUGCGUAACGCGUGGGAAUCUGCCCUUUGGUUCGGAAUAACAGUUGGAAACGACUGCUAAUACCGGAUGAUGACGAAAGUCCAAAGAUUUAUCGCCAGAGGAUGAGCCCGCGUAGGAUUAGCUAGUUGGUGUGGUAAAGGCGCACCAAGGCGACGAUCCUUAGCUGGUCUGAGAGGAUGAUCAGCCACACUGGGACUGAGACACGGCCCAGACUCCUACGGGAGGCAGCAGUGGGGAAUAUUGGACAAUGGGCGAAAGCCUGAUCCAGCAAUGCCGCGUGAGUGAUGAAGGCCUUAGGGUUGUAAAGCUCUUUUACCCGGGAUGAUAAUGACAGUACCGGGAGAAUAAGCUCCGGCUAACUCCGUGCCAGCAGUCGCAGUAA